UGUUUUGAUCCUAGAUAUUAUGUUGCUUGUAAUUAUAAUUAUACAUGCCAGACUCUACGCACCUGUGAGUAUCACCCCUACCUGGGGCCGGUAUCAGGCACACCACUAUGGUAGCCCAAGACGCCUAGCCUCGCCACACCCCCACCGGGCCUCAGCAGUAAUAAACACUAAGCAAUAAGCCAAUAACACUUGACUUGGUAAUAAUCACACACCUGGCCGGUAAACCUCGUGCCAGCCACCGCGGUUAUACGAGGGGCCAAAAACAACAUAUUACGGCGUAAAUUGUGACUAAAGAGUAAUUUAAAAUCGAGGGGCGAACCAAAUACAAAGUUGUAAAAUACGCAGUGCACUAGGUAAAUUCCCCACCCUCACUCCCAAAAACCUCCUUGACCUCACGAAAACUGAGACCCAAACUAGGAUUAGAUACCCUACUAUGCCCAGUCGUAAACCAUGGUGCAAUGACACCCGCCAGAGAAUUACAACCACCAGCUUGAAACUCAAAAGACUUGACAGUAUCUCACACACACCUAGAGGAGCCUGUCCUAUAAUCGAUAACCCACGAUAAACCUUACCUGCUCUUGAAUUAAUCAGCCUAUAUACCUCCGUCGCCAGUCCGCCUACCGACAGAUGCCAAAGCGCAUACAACAGCCUUACCACUCACACGACAGGUCAAGGUGUAGCUAAUGAGCUUAGGGAGAGAUGGGCUACAUUUUCUAAGUUAGAAAAUACCCAAGAUGCGAUGAAAAUGGCUCGUAAGGCGGAUUUAGCAGUAAGCAGGGCUAGAAAGCCCAACUGAAGCCUUCCAUGAGAU
rnacentral:rRNA from 1 species